rnacentral:rRNA from 1 species
UGCAGUCGAACGGAAAGGCCCUUCGGGGUACUCGAGUGGCGAACGGGUGAGUAACACGUGGGUGAUCUGCCCUGCACUUUGGGAUAAGCCUGGGAAACUGGGUCUAAUACCGAAUACACCUUGCUGGUUGCAUGACCUGGUGGGGGAAAGCUUUUGCGGUGUGGGAUGGGCCCGCGGCCUAUCAGCUUGUUGGUGAGGUUAUGGCUUACCAAGGCGACGACGGGUAGCCGGCCUGAGAGGGUGACCGGCCACACUGGGACUGAGAUACGGCCCAGACUCCUACGGGAGGCAGCAGUGGGGAAUAUUGCACAAUGGGCGCAAGCCUGAUGCAGCGACGCCGCGUGAGGGAUGACGGCCUUCGGGUUGUAAACCUCUUUCAGCAGGGACGAAGCGCAAGUGACGGUACCUGUAGAAGAAGGACCGGCCAACUACGUGCCAGCAGCCGCGGUAAUACGUAGGGUCCGAGCGUUGUCCGGAAUUACUGGGCGUAAAGAGCUCGUAGGUGGUUUGUCGCGUUGUUCGUGAAAACUCACAGCUCAACUGUGGGCGUGCGGGCGAUACGGGCAGACUGGAGUACUGCAGGGGAGACUGGAAUUCCUGGUGUAGCGGUGGAAUGCGCAGAUAUCAGGAGGAACACCGGUGGCGAAGGCGGGUCUCUGGGCAGUAACUGACGCUGAGGAGCGAAAGCGUGGGGAGCGAACAGGAUUAGAUACCCUGGUAGUCCACGCCGUAAACGGUGGGUACUAGGUGUGGGUUUCCUUCCUUGGGAUCCGUGCCGUANCUAACGCAUUAAGUACCCCGCCUGGGGAGUACGGCCGCAAGGCUAAAACUCAAAGAAAUUGACGGGGGCCCGCACAAGCGGCGGANCAUGUGGAUUAAUUCNAUGCAACGCGAAAACCNUACCUGGGUUUGACAUGCACANGACGCUGGGUAGAGAUAUCAGUUCCCNUGUGGNCUGUGUGCAGGUGGUGCAUGGCUGUCGUCAGCUCNUGUCNUGANAUGUUGGNNAAGUCCCNCAACNAGCGCANCCC